AAUGAAAAUUUGUUUUUUAACCAUUUUUUAAAAAAUUUAAAAUAAAUAUUUUUAAUUUAUAUAAAAAUUUCAAAAUAUUUAUUUAAAUAUUAAUUUAAAACUGAAAAGGAAUUUAUUUUUUUUUUUAAAAGUAAAAAUUUGUACCUUUAGCAUAAGGGAUUUUUAAAAAAAAAUAAAAUUUUAUUUUUUUCGAAAUUAACAGAUCUAUUAAUUUUAUUUAAAUUUAUAUUUAAAAAUAAAGGCUAAAUAAUUAAUAGAAGUGAAAUUCUUAUCAAAGUUAAAGAUAUCUAAUUUUUUAAAAAAACUAAAAGUUAUCUUAUAAUUACAUUUAGUUUAUACUUUUAUAAGAAAUUAUGUACGGGAUAAGCUUUACAUAACAAUUAUAUAAAUUUUAUAUUUUUUUUGAAAAAAGAAUAAAAUUUUCUUAAUAUUGUAAUAAAUAAUUACGAGUUAAUUUUUACUAAAAAUAAUUUUUUAUUGAUUUUUUAAAAUGUUUUAAAAGAUUAAUAAUGAAAAUAUUAGUAAAAUGUAAUACUAACUAUUUAUUAUAAUUAAUUAUAAAUUAAUUGUUGAAAAAUAAAUUUAAGUAAUUCGGCAAAAAAUUUUUUUGACUGUUUAAUAAAAACAAUGUAUUUAGAUUUAAUUAAAUAUAAAUCCUGCUCAAUGAAAUUUAAAUUGCUGUAGUAUAUUGACUAUACAAAGGUAUUGUAAUAAGGCUUUAAUUGGGUGCUAAAAGAAUGGACUUUCAAAAAAAUUCUAUCUUAAAUUUAAAAAUUGAAGUUAUUUUUAUUUGUGAAGAAACAAUAAUUUAAAUUAGGGACAAGAAGACCCUAAGAAUUUUUAAAAUAUUAUGUAAAWAUWUUUWUAUAAUAUUUAUUAAUUGGGGCGAUUAAAAAAUAUUAAAAACUUUUCUUUUUAUUAAAAUGAUCCAUUAUUAAUGAAUAAAUGAAUAAAAUACUCUAGGGAUAACAGCGUAAUAAUUUUGGAUAGUUCAUAUAGAAAAAAUAGUUUGCGACCUCGAUGUUGGAUUAGGAUUCUAAUUUAAUGAAGAAGUUAAGUUUAGAAGUUUGUUCAACUUUUAAAAUCCUACAUGAUCUGAGUUUAGACCGAUGUGAAUCAGGUUGGUUUCUAUCUUAAUUUUAAGAUAUUUUUAAAAUAGUACGAAAGGAAUUUUUAAAAAAAAAAGAUUUUUUUAAAUCUUUAACAGUUUUUGCAUCAAUUUUUGGAAUU
rnacentral:rRNA from 1 species